CAUCAUGUACUGUUCCAGCUCCAGUCAGCCACCCACAAGGAAGCGUUCUGUUCCUUUUCGACAGAGGGCCUGGCCGGCCACAUGGCCACGCUGUUGAAAAGCUCUAAAAUUUCCAACCAGCACUGGGACCCUUAGCGGGGGAGACUGGAAACAGAUACGUGCCAAGCCUUUAUGAGAACUUCUAUUGAAGUCCUGAGCCAAGAUGCAAAAGGAAGAAAGCUGAAAAUCAGUUGGGUUCUUCUGUCUGAAUAUUAUGGUUUCCAAAGCACUGAACUGGGUUAUGUUCUCUACUUCCCUGGAGACUCAGGAAGGAAGAGUUGAGUCUUCUGGUAUGAUACCAGGGUAUCCCGGUUCAUUGUGUCUGCUGUGCUCACCGAAUGAUGCUCUUCCCCUCCUUUGAUCCUUGCCCACCACCUUUCUUCUCCUUUAUCACUACGGCUGGC